CCUGGCUCAGAUUGAACGCUGGCGGCAGGCUUAACACAUGCAAGUCGAGCGGAAACGAUGGUAGCUUGCUACCAGGCGUCGAGCGGCGGACGGGUGAGUAAUGCUUAGGAAUCUGCCCAGUAGUGGGGGAUAGCCCGGGGAAACUCGGAUUAAUACCGCAUACGCCCUUUUGGGGAAAGCAGGGGAUCUUCGGACCUUGCGCUAUUGGAUGAGCCUAAGUCGGAUUAGCUUGUUGGUGAGGUAAAGGCUCACCAAGGCAACGAUCCGUAGCUGGUCUGAGAGGAUGAUCAGCCACAUCGGGACUGAGACACGGCCCGAACUCCUACGGGAGGCAGCAGUGGGGAAUAUUGGACAAUGGGGGCAACCCUGAUCCAGCCAUGCCGCGUGUGUGAAGAAGGCUUUCGGGUUGUAAAGCACUUUCAGUGAGGAGGAAGGCUUUCAGACUAAUACUCUGGAGGA
rnacentral:rRNA from 1 species